GGUUCAUUCAACACUGCACCACAGAGCCUAGCACAGUGCCUGGAAUAUGUGACUGGAGAUUUGUCAGGAACUCGGCUGGACUGAAAAAAGAGAGGGGGACUGCCUGUUGCCGGAGGGGCCGAUGACAGCAAGGAGCCAAAAGAGUAAGGAGGUCUCCCCAGAGGCGCCGGAAGAGGGCCUCUGGCCAAAGCCUCAGAUAAAGAGACCUUGGGAUGAAGGCAGCAGGGCUAGGAAUGAAAGUGGUGAAGAGCAUGACUGCUGGGUCCUUGCCUACGCCCCCCUCCAGAGACCGCAGUGCACGGGCCGGACACCAAGGCUGGCGUGCUGA